UGGAAAGGGGGACCCAGAGAGAUGUAGGGGGUUGUUAGGCAGCUCCAGGAACCCUUUUUCUGCCUGCACCAGGGCAGGGGCAGGACGUGGCAGAUGAGUUGUCAGGCUCUGUGAAGGUAAGAGCACCAGGAAGUGCUGAUGCAUUGAAGGUGGGAUGUGAGGGGAGAAAGGGGUGUCAGGGGUGACUCCAAUGUUUCUGGCCUGAGUCACUGAAUGAACAGUUGCCACGAGCAGAGUACUAUGAGGAAAGCAGGUUGGAGGGAGGUGGUGAUGGUGGGGAGGGAGAAUUCCAGAGGCUGGGUUUCAGGCAUGUGAUGUUUCAGACUAUUUUUAUAACAUCCAACUGGAGAUACUGACAGGACAGACACAGUCCUUGCCUCUCUGGGAACCCAUAUCCUGGUGAGGGAGAAAUCCCGUCAACACCACAACUAAGAGACAACCUAACCUGUCAUAUAGUGCCAGGUGUCGUGACGGUAACGUGAUGGGGAGCGGUGACUGUCAUAGUUGACUGGGGGCGGCCUUGGUGGGCAGGUGACGGGAGAGCUGAGACCCAGGACAGGGACAGCAAAGCCAAGUCCCGGAGGAAGGAAUGAACUUAGUGAGUUAGAGGAAUAGAAGGAAAGCGACUCCAGAAGGCUUACCCACAGCUGGGUCUUACUUUACAUGUGAUGGGAAGCUGACUUUGAGGGAGGAUGUGGUCACCUGAUUUCCAUUUUUAAAAAAGGUAACUUUGGAGACUGGAUUAGCAUUAGAGGGAGCAGGAAACCUGACUGGCAGUCCAUUAACCGUCGUCUAGCCAAACAGGACGUUGACUUGGAAGGCCACUGGAGAUGGAGUAAAUCAGAGAGAUGUGGAAUCUGCUUUGGAGGCAGGGCCAGCAGGAUGAAAGGAUCCAGGAUGCUGCUGCAGUCUUGAGGAGGUGCUCACGUGGAGUGUGAGGUCUCGCCGGACCCCAGGCUGGCAGGUGGCCUUUGUCUCCGUGAGUCAGAAGGGCAUCAAACCACGGCCCGAGGUUUAACCGCGAAGCCCUGCCCCUGGCAGCGAGCAGAUGGAACAAGGCUGCUAUUACGAGGGAACAGAGUCAACAGGGAAGCGGCAAGCGGGAGGCAAGCUUUAUGCUCUGUGGUUUCGCCCCAGUAGGAGGACGUGAUGACACCUCCAGGACAAAAGGUUCAUCUUUUCAACUACUUUGACUUCUCAGGAGCCCCCCAGCCCCGUGGUCUUUUUAUGAGAGAACUAUUUUCACCUCCUUGGCUCUGCACAUGUUUUCUACAUAAUAUUAAACAGUAACCUUUGAGUCCCCACAUACUGGACGCACAGACCACAGUACACACAGACACGCGCGCACACACAGACACACACACACGCACUCUGGCAAAGAUAAAACUUUUAACUUAAUUUGGCUCUUCCUUUUUUUUCUUUAACACCUUGAGAUAUAAUUUACAUGCCGUAAAAUUCGCCCAUUUUUAGCCAUGUAGUUAGAUGUUUUUCUUAUUUACUGAGUUGUAUACUGGCUGUUUCUUUUUGAAAAUGGAGCCCCUGGGUGAACAUUUUGACCCCACGUGCUCCCGCCUCACUUUGAAAGGUGACAUCUAAAGUGCAGAGAGCAACUUCUGUUUCACCCCCAAAAUAGUUGUUUUAUUCAUUCUGCCAUUUACAACUUACUCCCUGUGUUUUGAUUCUGAGCUGCUCAGACCUGCUUCUUAGAAGCCAGGUGGAUUCAUUUUUUACACUGUCAAGAAGUUUCUCUUGUGUUGGAGGAAUUUUCUGUUUGCUUGUUUGUUUUGUUAGUGUUUAGUGAGUCUUCAGAUCUUUGUUUCAUCUGCUGGGCUAAUCGGAGAGGCCUGAAAUGUAUCUUUGUGACACGACAGACUAUAUAGAAACAUUUGGUAUUUAAAGCUCAGCUCAAACGGUCACAGCAUUCUGACUGCUGAGAUUGGUAAAAAAAAAAAAAGAAGUUACCAAGAAAUAGAAAUAGGGCAUGGAGGCCUAGAACUUUUUCCUAAUAUUACAUCUUCACCUAUAGUUCGGUCUUGAUAUCUGAGUCUUUCUCAUUUGAAAAACAAAUGAAAAUAAUCACUUUAGGAGAUCUGCCUGAGGACUGCGUGAGCUAAUUCACGUGAAAACACCUAGAAUGCUAACAAUUUUUAAAAAUUUAUAAAUGUUCAUUGAAUACAGAUCCUAAGGAACUUCACCAAUGGCAUAAGGAUCGUGUUUUGGCCACGACACGGUACAUUAAUAAAAGCAUAGCACCUGCUGUUGAAGACUGUGUACCAGUUUAACCAAUUGUUCAACGAACAGGUGAUGAGGCUUGCCGUGUGCCAGGCACCGGGGAUAGAAUGGUGGACAGGCAGGUACAGUUGGAUGGAAGAGAGAUGUUCAACACAUAGUUGAGCAAAUAAGUAUCUAAGUACAAACUGUGCAAGGGUUAAAGAAACCAUUCUGGUAUGUGUGUAUGCAUGUGUGUGUGCGCAUUUAAAGCAAUUUAAGGUAUAUUUUGCUAGUAAAUGUAUACCUAUGGGCACAGAGAAAUUUUCUGGAACAACUCAUGAGAAAUUGGUUACAAGUGUUUCUUUUUGUAGAUAGGGGAAUGUCUUCUACUUUUUAUUCUGUAACUUUUCUAUGCAAUUUCAAGUUUCUAACUAUAAGCAUGUACUUUUGUUUUGCUGUUUAAGUAUCAGUAGGCUUCUCUGGUCAGUAGGCUGGGAGUCCAGUAUUAUUUUCUUCGUUAGACUUCUAUUAAAAAACAACCUGUUAUUUAAAAUGAACAAAUGAUUAACCGCUUGCAAUAGUUAACUUGUCAUGCCAAUUAAAUAUUAAAUAUUACACUUGAGAAGACAAAGGUCAUUUACAAGAGUGCAAGACUGCAUCAACCCACACUAAAUUGUUACCAGCCUGCUCGUGCCCGCAGUUUGCCCAGACAACACUUUCAUUCAACAGAUAUUUACUGAGCGCCUACUGUGUACUAGGUAGGCAUUGUUCUGAGCACUACUAGAUAAAACAAAGCCAUCAGGGAGUCAGGCUAGAUUCUAGUUGGAGGAAACAGACAAAUAAGUAAACCAAAUACAUAUUUAUAUAUAAUAUGUGCUAUAAAAAAUCAAAGCAGGGCUGGCGGGCAAGUGACGGAUGGUGCCCUCUGUUCAUCAUAUAGAAUACACUGUAGUUGUAUCACUGUAAAGAAAGACUGGGAGGCCUGAGAAGGUGCCAUUUCAGCCUGGAUGAGGGAAGGAGGGAAUGAGCCGUGCAGAUAAAUGACUGCCAAAAGGACCAGUAAAGGCUCUGAAAUGGGAAAGCUGGAAACCAGCAAAUCUUGGCAGUAAGUACGUGUACUGACCAUUGCACCAUUCAUUCUGUCCACUUGUCACAGCGUUCAAAACACUUCAUUUAAAACUUAAAAAAAAAUACUCAAAAUGAACACUGAUAGCUUCAUUAUUGUACAUACAGGGCUCAGAUCACGUGGUUCUGGGCACUGCUUCUCUUGUUCGAUAUUUAAUAAAAAUAGUUGAUGCGAACUAUACAUCCUAGUGAAACAGAGAUACAUCUUUAUUAAGACGUGUUUUAAACUUCUUUAGCCAUAUCGUCAUUACGAUACAUUUUUAUUAUUCUAACAGUAUCUCAUAAAAUGUGUAUUACUGUACUACAUGCCCAUUUCUAGCCACUGAAAAUUAAAUUAGUGAAUAUUAAUCACUUCACAGUCAUAAGGAAAAGGAUCCUGAGAUGCGUUGUUUCCCCGUCUACUCUGAGAUGCUUCCCAGCAGGAGGGGCACAACGAUAGGUAAGUGAAUCCAUGAACUACUUGAAAUAACAAGAAAAAAAGCUGACAAUAACUAGCCUUAGCUCACCAUCUAGCUGUAUAUGCUGGGAUGCACUUCCUGCUGUGGUCCCCACCUGUAAAAUGAAGGGCAGCUAUUACGUUGUCUGAGUCCUUUGAUUCCUUCUCUUGCUCUCUCUCUCAUAUUCUGAGAUCUAACUUUAUGAAUUGAUUAAAAUAACUGCUUUGUAACCAAUGAUUUUCACUAUCGCUGGCUGAACACUAAGUUAAUCUUCUCUUCCUCCUUCAAACAGGAUUCUGUGGGUGGGUUGCUCUAAAACAGUGGUUCUCAACCCGAGGCGAUCCAAACGCCCUCCCCACCCCCCUUCUAGGGGACAUGUGGCAGCUAUAGGAGCCCAGGUUACCUGUCAUGACUGUGGGGGGUGCCGCCAGCAUCUGGGGUCUAGGCCCAGGAAGCUGGUAGACACCCCACAACGCACAGGACGGCCCCCUGCAACGCAGAAUGACCCAGUCCAAAUGUCAACAGUGCCGAAAAUGAGAAUCUCGGGUCUAGAGAAACUGGAAAAGAUGGAGAAGGGAGGAAAUGAAUGGAGGACACUGCCUACUUAUGUCCAGCUGGUAUUUUCCCACCUAAGAAACAACACAGCAACUUUGGUCUUUUUUGAUGCUGAUUCUCCUCUAUUGAUUACGCUUUAUUAUUCCUGAAGACUUGGGUGUGUGACUUAAAUAACCCCACGUUAGACACAAGCACAACAGAAUAAAUGAAAACUGGAGGGCAAAUUCUAACAUGUACCGUAACUAUAAGAACAUUCUUUCUAAGGCUUGAAAAAGUCUUCAGAUCCUUGGUUUAAUUUAAUCGACAAUGCGUUCAUCUGCAUAUGGCAUUCAGCAGCAAAAUAAACUUUUUUUCCUGCAUCUUUUGUUUCCGAAUCAAUGGGGAACAAAGGAUACCCCGGUUCCAUUCAGGCAGUUUCAAUGAUUCUCAAACGUGGGAGUAGUAGUCGAGCCAUUUAAAAUACAGUGAUGAGAAAGCAUACUUAGUAACCUUGUAAACAUGCUAUGAAAGUACAAGGGAACCUUUAAGAAGGAUAUCCAAGUGUCCUUUUUAUAUAAUAGCCCUUUGUACUAUGAAAUGUUCAGAGGUCCAUAAAAUGGAAUUGAACAGAACAGACCAGAAGAGUGCAAUUUCCAAGUUUUCUAGUAAUGGUGCUGUUAAAACAUUAUUUUUGUUUCUUAACACUCAGAAAAUUAAGUUUCCUCACCCCAGGAUCAGCCCUACUCACAGAAAGGACUUUGGACCCAUAUUUAACCAACCGUCAGAAGGGAUUCAAAAGGAGGCUAAUUGAACACUGAGGUUUUUGAAACUCUCAAACGGUGACCCAAGUGUUUUCUUGAAAACAGCAGCAGCUUGGCAGGAAGCAGGAAUUAGACAAGAGAAUUGAUGGAAACCUGCCCUCCAAAUGGGAAGAAAAACUUCCAAUAACAAACUGUGAGGUUUGAAAUCACUGCGUGUUAUACUAUUCAUUAUUCAAAUGGCCACCACCCUUAUUGCCUGGCAUUUUCUCCUGCUUCUGAGCUGCCCCAAGAAACGCACUUUAGUAAGGAGGAUGAUCCCCCCUUUCUGAGGAAAGGGAAACCCUCUUUGUCUCCCCAUUCUGCAGCCCCCCCAUCUGCAUUCUCUCUCUGUUCUAGCUGCAUGUUUUGCAAUCUCCUCCAGUGUUCCAAAGGCCAAUGAAAUCAGUCUCCCAUAAGGGUACUCAGCCAAGUACAUUCACUGCUCAACUGUAUUUUUCUCUUUCUUAGCCCUUUCACCCACUGAUUUCAAAUUUCUCUUUAAUAGGCCAGCUAUGGCAGACCUCAACCGAAUAAGUUAUGAAAAGGCAAGCUAGGAAACCACACAGGCACGCAUUUCCCUUGAGCAACAUCAGAUGAGAAAGCAAUCGCUUUUCCAUCGCAGGGGAAACAGAGAAACAGGAAACCCAGAGGCAACGACUUGCUUGGAGGCCUCCAAGAUGAGAAAAUGGAAGAAGCAAGAAGAUAAGUGACUUACCCAAGCUUCCACAACUUGCAACGGCCAUGUCCUGAGAAUAUUCAAGCAGCAUUAUGGAAAAGUCCACAUGGGGAGGAACUGAGGCCUCCAGCCAGCAGCCCUGUGAGCUCCAUCUGAGAAGCAGAUCCUCCAACUGCAGUCAAGCCUUUAGAUGUUGGCAGCCUCGACCAACAUCCUGACUACAUCGUGACUACUUACAAGAAACCUUGAGCCAGAGCCACCUGUCCAGACUGUUCUCAGUGACUCCUGACCUCAGAAACGGUGUGAGGUUGUGGCCAGAGUUCUCAGACACCCUUGAAGAAGAAGAAUGAUUUGGAUUAUUAUUUCUGUUGACUGGCCCUUCAAAACUUAACAGCAGGGCUUCCCUGGUGG